rfam:Schistosoma margrebowiei strain Zambia genome assembly, scaffold: SMRZ_contig0011095
ACCUUGCUGAUGAGUGCUAAGUAGCACGAAACUCGGGUCCAGGGU